rnacentral:snoRNA from 1 species
UGCACAGCACGGUAUCUGCACUCAGCAGUUUAUUCCUGCUGAGGUGUUCAAAGGUCAAUGCCAUAGAAAUUCAGUAUCUGGAAUUGGUUUUCUUGGCUUUCUGCAUGUUAAACCUGGUAUUUCUAUAGUUUUCUCA